CCUCUCGGGGGUGACGGUACCUGCAGAAGAAGCGCCGGCUAACUACGUGCCAGCAGCCGCGGUAAUACGUAGGGGCGCAAGCGUUGUCCGGAAUUAUUGGGCGUAAAGAGCUCGUAGGCGGUCUGUCGCGUCUGCUGUGAAAAACGCGGGGGGCUCAACCCCGCGCCUGCAGUGGGUACGGGGCAGACUAGAGUGCGGUAGGGGGAGACUGGAAUUCCUGGUGUAGCGGUGGAAUGCGCAGAUAUCAGGAGGAACACCGGUGGCGAAGGCGGGUCUCUGGGCCGUUACUGACGCUGGAGGAGCGAAAAAGCAUGGGGGG
rnacentral:ncRNA from 1 species